UAUCGGGUCCAUAUCGUUCGCUUAAAUCUCGACUUCAAACGAAUAAAUGCGAAGGCAUCCGAAAGCCGACCGCGCCAUGCCUCCGGGCGUUCAGCGGCUCGAGGGAUUUGGACCGGGGCUGUCGACUAAAAACUGCGUCUCCAGUAUAGCAAACCGUAGAAUAUACAAAUUUAUCUUGGUAACUCUGGUGGAAAUGAGACUUAUAGUCAUCUUCGAGUACAUAACAAAAAUUAAGUAUUGUUUAUGUCAACAAAGGAAGAAUCUUCGUUAAAUUGAUGACACGGUUUAUGAAGUUUUUUAAAUAAUAAUAAUAAUUUUAAUAAAGAGAUAUUGAACUGGAAUACUUUUAAAACAUUAUCUACAAACUGUGAUAUUUUAUAAAUAAAUUUGUCUUUAUAAUA